GGAGUCGGCCAGGCAGCCGCUAUGGCGACAUAGAGGAAAGUCCGGGCUCCGCAGAGCGGGAUGCAGGGUAACGCCCUGGCACGGCGACGUGACGAAGAGGGCCACAGAGACGAGUCCGGCCGCGCUUUCCGCAAGGCAAGCCGGCCGGGGUGAAACGCGGCAACCUCCAUCCGGAGCAACACCAAAUAGGCAAGCGUGGCGCCCGGGCGAAAGCCCCCGCCGCGGCCGGCUCGGCCGAGGCUUGCGGGUAGGUGGCUAGAGCCGGGGGGUAACUCCCGGCCCAGAGGAAUGGCUGCCCCGCCCGGCCGGGGCUCGCCCCGGCCGGGCGCGACAGAACCCGGCUUACGGCCGUCUCCCGCU
rnacentral:RNase_P_RNA from 1 species